rnacentral:sRNA from 1 species
GACUCGAGCGCCAGCGAGAGAACGUUGCCAAGGGCAACGGCCCGAAGGGCGAGGAGCGAUAGCGACGAGUUAUCCUUCCCCCACCACCA